rnacentral:rRNA from 1 species
GAUGAACGCUGGCGCGCUUGCUUAACACAUGCAAGUCGAACGGAGUGCCUUUGAAAGACGAUUCGUCCAAUUGAUAAGGUUACUUAGUGGCGGACGGGUGAGUAACGCGUGAGGAACCUGCCUUGGAGUGGGGAAUAACACAGUGAAAAUUGUGCUAAUACCGCAUAAUGCAGUUGGGCCGCAUGGCUCUGACUGCCAAAGAUUUAUCGCUCUGAGAUGGCCUCGCGUCUGAUUAGCUAGUUGGUGGGGUAACGGCCCACCAAGGCGACGAUCAGUAGCCGGACUGAGAGGUUGGCCGGCCACAUUGGGACUGAGACACGGCCCAGACUCCUACGGGAGGCAGCAGUGGGGAAUAUUGGGCAAUGGGCGCAAGCCUGACCCAGCAACGCCGCGUGAAGGAAGAAGGCUUUCGGGUUGUAAACUUCUUUUCUUAGGGACGAAGCAAGUGACGGUACCUAAGGAAUAAGCCACGGCUAACUACGUGCCAGCAGCCGCGGUAAUACGUAGGUGGCAAGCGUUAUCCGGAUUUACUGGGUGUAAAGGGCGUGUAGGCGGGAUUGCAAGUCAGAUGUGAAAACCACGGGCUCAACCUGUGGCCUGCAUUUGAAACUGUAGUUCUUGAGUACUGGAGAGGCAGACGGAAUUCCUAGUGUAGCGGUGAAAUGCGUAGAUAUUAGGAGGAACACCAGUGGCGAAGGCGGUCUGCUGGACAGCAACUGACGCUGAGGCGCGAAAGCGUGGGGAGCAAACAGG